rnacentral:misc_RNA from 1 species
GUAUUUGAUUGCGUUUUAAGGCAACAUGAACAUUCUAUGACACAUACAGAGUAUAAAUGCAUAAGCCCGAAGGCCUACGGUGGGUUCACAGGUGUGUUGUGGAUUUAAGAGCUCGGGCGUGCACAUGCCCCGAAAGGCCAGCGACAACCCUCGCUUAUAAUUCUAUAAUGAUCCUUCCGCAGGUUCACCUACGGAAA